UCAAAAUAAAUAAAUACAUACAAAUACAAUAAAAUGCAGCCUCUUAUAUCAAUGUAUUGUGGGAUGAUGACAAUGUUGGUGAUGAUAAUAAUGACCCUAUGGAAGAUAAUGCACAAACACGUCUAAAUUUUAUCUGUUUUGAUCUUGCAAAGGACAUAGAGAAGUCACAGAACAGGAGCAAUCAGCCUGCUGUGUCUACACAACAGCCCUAGAGAUUAAACUAUGCUGUUCCACUGCCACGGACUCCCUCCCCAUAUCUUCCUGGAAAACACUUGUUCACCCCUUAUUCAGUUAUCACUUCCUGGAGGAACACUUUCCCUGACUUUCCCAGAAGAUUUCCUUCUCCAUGUUCUGCAGGGACACCACUUAUCCUGCUCCCACUAUAGCAGGAAUCAGUGCUCUCUAUACAAGUGCCCAGUACACAGCUUGGACCUCUGAAGGUAUUUAGUAAAAGUUUAUUUAAUAAAUGAACAAAUAAAUCAAUGAACGGAUGAA